rnacentral:sRNA from 1 species
GCUGGGCAUGGUGGCACAUGCCUGUAAUUCCAGUGACUUGGAAGGCUGAGGCAGGAGGAUCUCAAGUUCGAAGCCAGCCUCAGCAAAAGCAAGGUGCUAAGCAACUCAGUGAGACCCUGUCUCUA